rnacentral:sRNA from 1 species
GCAUCUGCUUGUUUCUGACUGUUGUGACCUCAUGUAACCCUCGAUGUUCUUCCACUCUGUGCUCUGCACUUGUGUAAUUUCUAAUGAUUCUUUCAUAUAGCUUUUAAUGUUCUUCUGCUCUGUGCUUCAUACUUGUGUAGUCUCUAAUGAUUCUUCUGUGUAGCUUCUUACAUUCCCUCACUCUGUGUUCUGUGCUUGUGUAGUCUCUAAUGAUUCUUUCACAUAGCUUCUUAUGUUCUUCUGCUCUGUGUUCCACACUUGUAUAGUCUCUAACAAUUCUUCUGCAUAGCUCUCAAUGAUUCCCUCAUCCCACA